UUACUUACCUGCCAGGGGAGAUACCAUGAUCACGAAAGUGAUUUUCCCAGGGUGAGGCUUAUCCAUUGCACUCUGGAUGUGCUGACCCCUGUAAUUUCCACCAAUGUGGGGAACUAGACUGCAUUUUCUAUUCUCUCCCAGAAUUACUUGUCAUUUCUAAA